AAACACCAUCCCAGAUACGAGAUUUUCUUACAGAAUUGGUUCUGUAAGAUUCCUGCUAGAAUGAUUCUAGCAGCCCUGUCUGAAUUCUGUAAGAAUUUUGCAAGAACUUUCUAACAGAAAAUACUGCUCACUGAUUGGCUGGCGGUUUACCGGUUCAAAUCACACUUCAACAAGAUUAAUUUUCGCUCGUUUGUCUCAGUUUCGACCAUUUUGAAAAUCCGAGAGCCGAGGACAAUCUGGAGAUCCCGUCGGAAAUCAAAACUUAGCAGGCAGAUUAAAACACACUAUCGCAGGCAUGGCUUUCGGUGACAUCCAGACCCCGGAUCUGGAGUCCGGAUUCUCUUCUCGGCAUCAUUGACCGUGACAUCGAUUCGUUUCGCGACAUAUUUCCAACCUGGGUUACUCGGACAGAUUGGGAAAGAAAAGCAUGCAGUGUUCUGCCGAAGGAUCAACAGCCGCCUCCAUGGUGUAUUAAAAAGUGAUAUGACUUGCAUUAUAGAGCAGAAAAUGACUUGUAAUUAACAGAGAAAUAAAUUUUGUUCGAAAUGAAA
rnacentral:lncRNA from 1 species